rnacentral:misc_RNA from 1 species
ACAGCGAGCAACUGAGAACGGCUCGACUACGCCGAACAGACAGCUCGCGCCUGCGCGAGGGGCUCGUCACGCAACCAAGGAAUGGAGCAAAGGAAGCUCCGGAACAGCCUGGCGCGCAGAGGAAGAAAACCACGACGCACGCAGCAAGGCGACAGCGCGCAGGAACGCGGCAAGCAGGGGUCGGAGGCGAGCUCCACGGCGAGCAGAGCAGGGGCUGGGUGCGGCAUGGGAGAGCGAGCUGAGGGACGCGGCCACGAAUUGGGAAGAACUGAAGGGAGCUACAUGGAGGUCGCGCGGUCAGGCGAUUUUGAGGGAAGGACGAGCGGGGAAAGCAGACGAACUCCUGGGCUGAGGCCAUUGAUGGGCAGAGGGAGCUCGGGCGCCGGCAAACCAGCAGGGGAAGACGCCAUGGGGAUGAGAGAGGUCCGCGCGCAGAGGGGGUUGGAGCUGAAGGGA